rnacentral:rRNA from 1 species
CCUACGGGAGGCAGCAGUGAGGAAUAUUGGUCAAUGGACGAGAGUCUGAACCAGCCAAGUAGCGUGAAGGAUGACUGCCCUAUGGGUUGUAAACUUCUUUUAUAUGGGAAUAAAAUGUUCCACGUGUGGGAUUUUGUAUGUACCAUAUGAAUAAGGAUCGGCUAACUCCGCGCCAGCAGCCGCGGUAAUACGGAGGAUCCGAGCGUUAUCCGGAUUUAUUGGGUUUAAAGGGAGCGUAGGUGGAUUGUUAAGUCAGUUGUGAAAGUUUGCGGCUCAACCGUAAAAUUGCAGUUGAAACUGGCAGUCUUGAGUACAGUAGAGGUGGGCGGAAUUCGUGGUGUAGCGGUGGAAUGCUUAGAUAUCACGAAGAACUCCGAUUGCGAAGGCAGCUCACUGGACUGCAACUGACACUGAGGCUCGAAAGUGUGGGUAUCAAACAGGAUUAGAUACCCUAGUAGUC